GUUUGAUCCUGGCUCAGGACGAACGCUGGCGGCGUGCUUAACACAUGCAAGUCGAACGAUGAUGCCUAGCUUGCUAGGUGGAUUAGUGGCGAACGGGUGAGUAACACGUGAGCAACCUGCCCCUGACUUUGGGAUAACUGCUGGAAACGGUAGCUAAUACUGAAUAUGACUGAUGAUCGCAUGAUUGUUGGUGGAAAGUUUUUCGGUUGGGGAUGGGCUCGCGGCCUAUCAGCUUGUUGGUGGGGUAAUGGCCUACCAAGGCGAUGACGGGUAGCCGGCCUGAGAGGGUGACCGGCCACACUGGGACUGAGACACGGCCCAGACUCCUACGGGAGGCAGCAGUGGGGAAUAUUGCACAAUGGGCGAAAGCCUGAUGCAGCGACGCCGCGUGAGGGAUGACGGCCUUCGGGUUGUAAACCUCUUUCAGUAGGGAAGAAGCGAAAGUGACGGUACCUGCAGAAGAAGCGCCGGCUAACUACGUGCCAGCAGCCGCGGUAAUACGUAGGGCGCAAGCGUUGUCCGGAAUUAUUGGGCGUAAAGAGCUUGUAGGCGGCUUGUCACGUCUGGUGUGAAAUCCCAUCGCUCAACGGUGGGCUUGCAUCGGGUACGGGCAGGCUAGAGUAUGGUAGGGGAAACUGGAAUUCCUGGUGUAGCGGUGAAAUGCGCAGAUAUCAGGAGGAACACCGAUGGCGAAGGCAGGUUUCUGGGCCAUUACUGACGCUGAGAAGCGAAAGCAUGGGGAGCGAACAGGAUUAGAUACCCUGGUAGUCCAUGCCGUAAACGUUGGGCACUAGAUGUGGGGAACAUUCCACGUUUUCCGCGUCGUAGCUAACGCAUUAAGUGCCCCGCCUGGGGAGUACGGCCGCAAGGCUAAAACUCAAAGGAAUUGACGGGGGCCCGCACAAGCGGCGGAGCAUGCGGAUUAAUUCGAUGCAACGCGAAGAACCUUACCAAGGCUUGACAUACACCGGAAGCAUGUAGAGAUAUGUGUGUCUUCGGACUGGUGUACAGGUGGUGCAUGGUUGUCGUCAGCUCGUGUCGUGAGAUGUUGGGUUAAGUCCCGCAACGAGCGCAACCCCUAUUCUAUGUUGCCAGCACGUUAUGGUGGGGACUCAUAGGAGACUGCCGGGGUUAACUCGGAGGAAGGUGGGGACGACGUCAAAUCAUCAUGCCCCUUAUGUCUUGGGCUUCACGCGUGCUACAAUGGCCGGUACAAAGGGUUGCGAUACUGUGAGGUGGAGCGAAUCCCAAAA
rnacentral:rRNA from 1 species